UAAGUCGCUAUGAUAAAGACGAGUAAUAUUAAAUUUCUUUAAAGAGAGGUUGUAUUUGCUGUAAACAACUAAGGAUUUAUUAUGAAGGGAACUUUGGAGUGAUAACUGAUAAAGCAGGGCUUAUGCCAAAAAGGGUGGAACCGCGGAAAUGAUUUUCGUCCCUUAA
rnacentral:ncRNA from 1 species